UUCCGGUUGAUCCUGCCGGACCUGACUGCUAUCGGAUUGAUACUAAGCCAUGCGAGUCUUUGUAGUAAUACAAGGCAGACGGCUCAGUAACACGUAGUCAAUCUACCCUAUGGACGGGGAUAACCUCGGGAAACUGAGAAUAAUACCCGAUAGAUCAUUAUGCCUGGAAUGGUUAAUGGUUCAAAUGAUUUAUCGCCAUAGGAUGGGACUGCGGUCUAUCAGCUUGUUGGUGAGGUAAUGGCCCACCAAGACUAUUACAGGUACGGGCUCUGAGAGGAGUAGCCCGGAGAUGGGUACUGAGACACGGACCCAGGCCCUAUGGGGCGCAGCAGGCGAGAAAACUUUGCAAUGUGCGAAAGCACGACAAGGUUAAUCCGAGUGGUUUGUGCUAAACAGACCUUUUGUUAGUCCUAGAAACACUAACGAAUAAGGGGUGGGCAAGUUCUGGUGUCAGCCGCCGCGGUAAAACCAGCACCUCAAGUGGUCAGGAUGAUUAUUGGGCCUAAAGCAUCCGUAGCCGGCUCUGUAAGUUUUCGGUUAAAUCUGUAUGCUCAACAUACAGGCUGCCGGGAAUACUGCAGAGCUAGGGAGUGGGAGAGGUAGACGGUACUCGGUANGAAGGGGUAAAAUCCUUUGAUCUAUUGAUGACCACCUGUGGCGAAGNCGGUCUACCAGAACACGUCCGACGGUAGGGAUGAAAGCUGGGGGAGCAAACCGGAUUAGAUACCCGGGUAGUCCCAGCUGUAAACUAUGCAAACUCAGUGA
rnacentral:rRNA from 1 species